AGACAUGCUGCAUUGGGAGUCGAUUGUUAGUUCCGAGAGAAGAUAAGUUAGGCAGUUAUAUUGUCAGUUUGUCCCUGAGCUGCAGUACUACUGUUCCCUUACGGCCCAGAUGAACACCAUGGAGAGACUAGUGGCCCUGUGCACCUGCCUGCUGCUGCUGCCGGGUGUGCUGGUCAACAUAGAGUGUCCCGACGUCAGCCUUGGCACCACCAGAGCCAGUCCUGGUAUUACCAGUUCCAACAUCACCACUGGCCUCAACAGCACCACCACUGGGCCUAUGAAUGCCAUGCCUAUGAACACCACAAAACCACAAGGACCUGACACAAACCAGACAACCACAAACAACAGCAGCACCACACC
ensembl:lncRNA